UGGGGAAUUUUGGACAAUGGGCGAAAGCCUGAUCCAGCAAUGCCGCGUGCAGGAAGAAGGCCUUCGGGUUGUAAACUGCUUUUGUACGGAACGAAAAGGCUCUUUCUAAUAAAGAGGGCCCAUGACGGUACCGUAAGAAUAAGCACCGGCUAACUACGUGCCAGCAGCCGCGGUAAUACGUAGGGUGCGAGCGUUAAUCGGAAUUACUGGGCGUAAAGCGUGCGCAGGCGGUUCUAUAAGACAGAUGUGAAAUCCCCGGGCUCAACCUGGGAAUGGCAUUUGUGACUGUAGAGCUAGAGUACGGUAGAGGGGGAUGGAAUUCCGCGUGUAGCAGUGAAAUGCGUAGAUAUGCGGAGGAACACCGAUGGCGAAGGCAAUCCCCUGGACCUGUACUGACGCUCAUGCACGAAAGCGUGGGGAGCAAACAGG
rnacentral:rRNA from 1 species